rnacentral:rRNA from 1 species
UGGGGAAUUGUUCGCAAUGGGCGCAAGCCUGACGACGCAACGCCGCGUGGAGGAUGAAGGUCUUCGGAUUGUAAACUCCUGUUGACCGGGAAGAAUGGGCCCUGACCUAACACGUCGGGGCCAUGACGGUACCGGUUGAGGAAGCCACGGCUAACUCCGUGCCAGCAGCCGCGGUAAUACGGAGGGGGCUAGCGUUGUUCGGAAUUACUGGGCGUAAAGCGCACGUAGGCGGCUUUGUAAGUUAGAGGUGAAAGCCCGGGGCUCAACUCCGGAACUGCCUUUAAGACUGCAUCGCUAGAAUCGUGGAGAGGUAAGUGGAAUUCCGAGUGUAGAGGUGAAAUUCGUAGAUAUUCGGAAGAACACCAGUGGCGAAGGCGACUUACUGGACACAUAUUGACGCUGAGGUGCGAAAGCGUGGGGAGCAAA